GCGUGAGUGACGAAGGCCUUAGGGUUGUAAAACUCUUUCAUCGGUGAGGAUAAUGACAGUAGCCGAAGAAGAAGGACCGGCUAAUUCCGUGCCAGCAGCCGCGGUAAUACGGAAGGUCCUAGCGUUGUUCGGAAUUACUGGGCGUAAAGCGCAUGUAGGCGGAACAAAAAGUUAGAAGUGAAAUCCCUGGGCUCAACCUAGGAAUUGCUUUUAAAACUUUUGUUCUGGAAUUCAGGAGAGGAAAAUGGAAUUUCCAGUGUAGAGGUGAAAUUCGU
rnacentral:rRNA from 1 species